rnacentral:lncRNA from 1 species
AGAGAGAGAGAGAGAGAGAGAGAGAGAGAGAAGUUAAAGAAAAAAAAAGUAAAGGGAUGCUAGAGAGACCAUUUGUUUGAACCAUAUAUUAAGGCUACAUAAUGUGGCGAUUGAUUGUUGAAUUCCUUAUUUAAAUCAUUAAAGAAAUAAUCCAAACAUAACUUGUUACAUCAUGUGAUCUACAAAAUACAGUCUAAAAAUAUAGUUUCUCUAGCAUAACUCUUUCCAAAAAUAAGUAACCAAUUGUCUGAUAACAAUAUAGUGAACAUGAAAAAUACUAAUUAUAAUUCAGUUUUUAAACUUCGGGUUUUUCCUUUGAAACAAUUGUGUUUCACGUAGCUAUAUAUAAUUUCCACUUUCAUGGAAUAACAUCACACAUUCACAAUUUCUGGUGUGCAUGAACAGUAUUGAAGCGGUGAAUAAAAGCUUCUUUCUUUUUUUGUGUUAAUAGAUGGAUAACUUUCAGGCUUGCAUGUGGAUUGCUUCCAAGGAUGUGGCAGUUAUUAAAAGAGAGGUUGUGUUAUUCUCACACUCUUUUUUAUUUCAUACACAUUCUUUUAAUUUGCGAUCGUCGGAUUGACUGAAUUAAAGAAUAUCAAAGAACAAAAAUUAACAAGGGGUAUGUGAGUAGUAAAAUGAGGUGAGUGGAUAACACAUCCCUAGAAGAAACACACAUAAUUUCCAUCAAACUGAAACUCUAGAUCAAUUAAUGAGAACAUUAUUUUUCUUCUUAAGGCCUAAAACCAGGAGAAAUCUCACUUUCUGCAUUAGCAAUUUGACAUCCAAAAUACAUUUUGUUUGUACCAUACUUGACCAAUCCCGAAACUACUGAGCACCAAUCAACGUUAUACCGUCAAGGACCCAAAAGAGUUUCCCUCCAACCAAGAGGCCAAUCAUAGCGCGACACGUGUCGACAUCAGAAGCCAAUCAUAGCGCGACACGUGUCAACAUCAGAAGCCAAUCACAACAUGACACAUGUCAAUGUCAGAAUGAAACUAGAAACUCUCUUCUAUAAAUAGAGAUCAUUCUCUCACAAUAUUUCCUAAUGUCAUUUGUACUAAAUCAUUCGCUAGUACUCACUAAAGGAGAGCUUGAACCUAUGUACUUGUGUAAACUCUUCACAAUUAAUGAGAACUCCUCGACUCCGUGGACAUAGCCAAUCUGGGUGAACCACGUACAUCUUGUGUUUGCUUCCCUGUCUCUAUCCAUUUACAUACUUAUCCAUACUAGUGACCGGAGCAAUCUAGCGAAGGUCACAAACUUAACAUUUUCUGUUGUACCAAAGUCUUCACUGAUUUUGUGCAUCAACAUUUGGCACCGUCUGUGGGAACGACACUUAUUCCCACUCUCUUUAGUUUUGUCAAGCUGGUUUCCACCAUUAGUACACUCUCUUUUGACCAA